rnacentral:tRNA from 2 species
GGGCGCUUAGCUCAGCCGGGAGAGCAUCUGCCUUACAAGCAGAGGGUCGGCGGUUCGAUCCCGUCAGCGCCCACCA